rnacentral:misc_RNA from 1 species
GAAAUGUUCUUUGAAAAUGUUUUUCGUUGGCUUCGUCGGAGUACAUUUAUUCCAUAUCACCGAGUAUAAUAAUAUUUCGUACGCGAUGUAUCAGGGUAAUAAAUGGUUUCAUUACAUUAUAAAUAUAGCGUCUCAAUGGUAAUUGCAUUCUUGGUCUCGAAAUGGAAAACAUUCAGAGGAUCAGAGGCUACAGUUUCCAGACAUUUGCGAUUGUUGGGGCUGGACAAUGGACCCAAGCAACAGUGAAGCUAUGUGUCAGUUUUAUUUCAAUAUGGAUGCAACGUUGGUUGGAAAAUGCAGAAACAAAUGCUGUUCUUUGACAGAACUAUGGCCAUUGCACGCUAUGGCCAUUUUGUCGCAUUUCCGAGCGAAAAAAUGGAGAUCUCUCGACGAGUAUCAGGAAUUACUCGGUUCAGUCGACACGCUCGUGUUUCUGAGGCCGUAAUAUAG